UAACGCGUGAGUAACCUGCCUCAUACAACGGGAUACCCGAGGGAAACUUCGGUUAAUACGGUAUAAGACCACACUACCGCAUGGUAGAGGGGUAAAAGGGGCAACCUGGUAUGAGAUGGACUCGCGUCGCAUUAGCUAGUUGGUGAGGUAACGGCCCACCAAGGCGACGAUGCGUAGCCGACCUGAGAGGGUGAUCGGCCACAUUGGGACUGAGAUACGGCCCAGACUCCUACGGGAGGCAGCAGUGGGGAAUAUUGGGCAAUGGAGGAAACUCUGACCCAGCAAUGCCGCGUGAAUGAAGAAGGUCUUCGGAUUGUAAAGUUCUUUAGUCAGGGAAGAAGUCAAUGACGGUACCUGAAGAAUAAGCUCCGGCUAACUACGUGCCAGCAGCCGCGGUAAUACGUAGGGAGCAAGCGUUGUUCGGAAUGACUGGGCGUAAAGGGUGCGUAGGCGGUUGUACAAGUUAGAAGUGAAAUACCCAGGGCUUAACUCGGGUGCUGCUUCUAAAACUGUAUGACUUGAGUGCAGUAGAGGUUAGUGGAAUUCCUAGUGUAGCGGUGGAAUGCGUAGAUAUUAGGAGGAACACCAGAGGCGAAGGCGGCUAACUGGACUGCAACUGACGCUGAGGCACGAAAGUGUGGGGAGCAAACAGGAUUAGAUACCCUGGUAGUCCACACUGUAAACGAUGGAUACUAGAUGU
rnacentral:rRNA from 1 species